rnacentral:misc_RNA from 1 species
CGUAACAAGGUUUCCGUAGGUGAACCUGCGGAAGGAUCAUUAGUGAAUUUGGCUUCGGCCUCAUAUCCCACCUCUGUGAACUGUCGGUCUCCGGACCGGUCUUUUAAACAUGGUGUAAAGAACGUGAAAAAACAAAAACAAAAACAAAACUUUCAACAACGGAUCUCUUGGCUCUCGCAUCGAUGAAGAACGCAGCGAAAUGCGAUAAGUAAUGUGAAUUGCAGAAUUCAGUGAAUCAUCGAAUCUUUGAACGCACCUUGCGCCUUUUGGUAUUCCGAAAGGCAUGCCUGUUUGAGUGUCAUGAAACAUCAACCCCCCCAGGUUUUUCGCUUGGGAAGGUUGGAUCUGGGCGCUGCCGCCUGCUCGUCUGCGGGCCGGCUCGCCUCAAAAGCGUUAGUGGGAUACCGCAUAGCCCGACGUGAUAAGUUUCGUCUGGUGAAGCGCGACGCCUGCUUUACCCCAAAUUUCAUUUGUAACUCUGAC